rnacentral:sRNA from 1 species
GAGAGAGAGAGAGAGAGAGAUAUUAUCUGAUGCCAACAAUUAAUUCAAAACCUUUCAAAUAGCACAUGCCACAAACAAUCCUAUAGUUGAAGGCACAUAACCUGGCUUCUCAGAGACUCAGACACUUUGCCUUCUAUCUCUGACCCAGGCUAUGUUUAGCAUUGGGAUCCUGUCAUUUCAAGCUCUCAGAAGUCACUAUCUUUGGGAAGAAGUGAUGAGUGUAGGUGGCUAUUUUCAGUGGAAACACUCAAAAGGACUUCACUAAGUGGCCUGUCUCGCCAUCCUCCUGAAUCUUGUACUUUAGGAGCACGAAGCACAAGAUGUGGGCAGAUACACGAUUCAAGUAUUGUCAGAGUUAAAGUGAGAGAAGACAUUGCAGGCAAGGCAGGGGGAGGAAGCAGAAGGUAGAAAUUAUUCCCCAAGGAACUGUGAGAUUUACAGAAAUUCCCAGGAAAGCAAAGAGAGAAAGGGUAUUGAAGCAGUAUUAAGCAAGUGCUAGGUGCUGGGUACAUUUUAUUUAAUCCCUAAAGCUUUUUAAAUAGGCCUGCUACUCCUGGUCAUUAUUGCAACAACGUGUCUUGCCUUUUUUAUGCUCUUAGCACAAAGUGACUCUUAAGCACCUGGUCAACUCGGUGAGAAAUGUUCUUUUACGAUCACUGGACAGACUACAAAAUUAAGACUUUAAGAGAGAUUAAGCAAAUUCAUUCCAAAAUCCACAGAUAGAGACUGUUCAAUAGGAUUCUACGGAGUCUCUAUCUACCCAACAUCUAUUCUUCCCUCUGUGUAGGAAGUCAGAGGACUCACGUGAUCACAUUGUCGGGUGUCCCAACAACAAUGCUGGGUCAGGGCCUCGGUGUCUCCCUUACACAGUUUACCCCUCUCACUAUGGAGCACGGUGCCAACACCAGUCCCUGGGGUACAAUGCACUCGAGAAGUGCCUCCCAAAUCUUGAAUUCACAACCCUCUACCCUGUGGGUUUCCCUUUAAGAACACAGAAUACUCCCUGAUGCCCCUCUGGGUGAGAGCAACAUCGGGCCAAGAGAAUUUAGCCAGUGCAUCAUGUUUCCUCACCUACCAACGAAAACCUUUUGCAGAAUGGGAAUGACUGGUACUUGACUUUUUUUUUUUUUAAAGCAAUUAACUAUGGAGCACCAGGAAAGAAUCCUAAUGUUUUUAAGUUUUAUUUUUUGACAUAUAUUUCUAAAUGUAUUCUGUAAUUUCACGCAAGAACACAACAUAUUUGAAUCACAUCCUCACUCCACUGCUCGCUCCUCUCAGCCCUCCCCGCCACCUUCCCCCUCCCAGCUUUGAGUCUUCCCAGCCUUCCCUUCUUGCCUCCCCAACUGAAUUCAGUCAGUGCUGACCAUAUCUGUGGGUGUAGCACUGCUAGCUGGGGAAUGUCCAACCUACUAGCAGACAUCAACUGCCAAGACCUCCUCCUCUGCUGGGGUGGGUAGGAACUCCUAUGCCCUCCCCCAUGAAUAUGGCCCCUGUCUAGGUCCUGUGGGGCAAACAUAGCCACUGUGAGUUCAUGAAAACAGAGUCUCUACCAUAUCUAGAAAAUACUUUCCCUGUAAUAGUCUCCAACCUUCAGUGCUUAGAAUUUUUCCUCCCCUUCUCCCACAGUGGAUGUCUCCCUGAGUUUUCCAUUUGAUUCCCAUGUUAAGAAACAAAUGCUAUAGGUACCAUUUGCAAAGACAAAUGAAAAACCUCCAAAAUCAAGUAAAGGACAGAAACUGUUGAGUGUGACGUAGAAAUUCUGCCACUGAGUCCGUGCACAGUGCUCGGCCCUGGGUACCACGAUAAGUACUUCGCCUGGGCAUCUCAUUCCAGCCUCCCAAUAGCCCAGCUCCUUAGAUUUAGCCACUGAGAUACACACUAGGCUAAGGAUCCUGGCUAAUACAGCACAGCCGGCAUGCAAGGUGUGAGACCACAGCAACAGCCCUGCAAAAGCCUCUUUGAAUUGGCAAGUGACAGAGAACAUGGCCUGAAUUGACAAAGCAUGUGACUUUCAUGAUUGGAAACAUCCUAUUCUUGAGCUCUUUUCCUUCUUUAAAGAUGAUACGAUAUCUAUAGAAAUGUAUUAAUGUAUAAGGAGAUUUUUUUUAAAUGUUGUUUGUUUGUUUAGAAGGCACGCACAAGUGGGGACGUCCUUGUGGAGAUCAGAGGGCAUCAGACGUGUGGAUUCUGGAGAAUCGAACUCAGUCACCAGGUUUUGAGAGAAUCCUAAUGCCUUGAACAUGUUUUGAAGUUUUCUUUUUUUUGACAUAUAUUUUGACACAUGCAAGCACCUUUCUGUUGGGCCGCCACACCACCCUUCAUGUGCUGGUAAGUCUAAUGUUCCACUGAAUGAAGCCAGUUGUCCAGAAGUACACCCAACAGACACUGAGAAUCAAACUCCGAGGGGAUAAGGACGCUUGGAAAUGAAUAAUUAAUAACGUCAACUACCUAGGCAUGCUAAAAACCCAAAAUAGUUGAUCACCUAAGAAGGCCCAGGUUACACAUUCACUUGUUUGUUUAGUCAACAAGUACUUCAUUGUGUGUCCAGCAUUAAUCUUGGCAAUGUUGAUACGACCAAGCAGACACAAAUCCCUGUCCUUUAUGAAGUUUACACUCCGUUGGAAACAGAGAGCAGAGGCACGGGAAGCGAUGACUGUGGCAGCCAUAGGAACUGAGGGGGAAACAAAGCAAACCCAACAAUUGGGAGGCUAAAGGUGGCUUGCAGUGUUAGUGAGGUGGGUACGGGAGACAGCAAACCAGUGAUUUGCUUUCAAAGUACUGAUCUUGGAAAACUUUAAACAUCGCUAUAAGCAUUUAAAAAAGUCAGCUAGCUACAUCAAUAUUGUUGGACAUUUCUUAAUUUUAGGAGUGAGAUGUGAUUUUUUUUAAAUAGACUUUUUUCCAAGGUAAGUUGUAGAGAGAAUCAGAAGGCAAGGUAGAGAAGGACAGAAUAUUUGCGGCACACAGACUAGACCACUGACGUGUUCCUUGUCUGUGUCACCAUGGGACACUGGCUACCGUCUCGGACCUGCCUGCAUUGCCCAGUGAAAUCUAAGCACAUAACUGGAAUCCCAUCUGGAGCCUUCUUCAAAACCAUCAGGCUCUCAGAUUCCUGCUGUCCUUGCUUGACCCUGACCCCGCCCGGAGCCGCAGCUGAGGUAGAGACUGUGAUGUGGUUUGUCUCCCUCACGCGACCGCCCUAACGCAGAGUGCUAACGGCCACCACGCAGGUGCCACCGUGUGUAUGCAAAUGGACAAGAAAAUAAAGCAAGCUAUGACUGAAAACUAGUUUCUAAUACCAAAAUAUGAUGUCUGCUGACUAGGAUGUCAUAUAGCCUUCAGCCUCAUGGCAGCCUCUCCCUGAAGGGAAAUACUUCUGUCUAAGACUUCCUGGGAAGGCCCUAGUUAUAUGAAGAUAACACAAGAACAGAACCGUCAUGUUCAGAAGAGUCUUACCGAUGGGAAAAGGGAAGACCUAAUUCACUGAAUGUGUCCCUUGUCACCACCUAAAUAUGCUGGCUGCGUGCUGAUCUUACAAACCGACUCACAGUUCUUUCUGCAAAAGUAGGUACCAACCUCAGGAGUCCCAUUUCCUCAAAAGCAUCGCAUCCCAUUUAGUGAGACCCCAUGGAGUCAGGUGCCAAGGGCACUAACACCGUGUUACAGUUCCCUCCCUAGUCAUACACUUAACAGCAUGGAUACAUCACAAGAUCACUUGUCAGUCCUUCUCAGUUUAAUGGGUCUUUGUUUUCCCGAGAACAACGGGAACUAGAGGAGCAGAGGUCUUGCAUCAUCCAACUAGAAAUAGCUGCUGUUAAAUGCGGCUCUCUGUUGUUGUCCAAGUUUCGAAAUGAAGUUGAUACUUGAAGAGAAAGUUCAUCUAUUGGAUGGUAUCCGAUUUCCAGUGAUGUCAUCUCCUCUAGGUGAUUAAGGACCUAUUUGGUUUUCCAAUCACGCAAAUCAGCAGCUCUCAAAGGGAAUUUUAAUCAGCGGCAUUGCCCGCUGUGCUAAGAGCGUCCCUGGGAACGGGGCACUGCUGACCUUUCCUGCAUAGCAAAUUUAAAUCUGAAGCAUUGCGCUGCUCAGGAUUUCUGCCAUUUCCCCGCGGUGGUACGAGAUUAGAGAUGAACUUUCAGGCUCAGCGUACAUUACAAACACAGACGCAUAAGCUGUGAAGAGUCAGAAGCAGAGCGAUGUCUUUCCCUGGAUGCAAAGGUCACUGCUGUUUGUGCCCAUUCAUUUCAGCUGACCAUGUCUUCCUACGCUGACUGUCCCAGUUAGAGAGCUCCAAUUGGAAAACAGCUGUCCUUCUGAGUGUGCAGCGUGGUCCGCAUCAAGAUUGCCUACUAAAUUUAACUUUGUUCUCAUUGGUAUGUCAAAGGAAAAGUAGUUUCCCGUGUCACAAAACAAACCUAAAUCGCUUCAUUAUUUUUUUUAAUGUGGAAAAUAAUGUUAUAUUUAUCAGAAUAGUACUAUGUGCCCUUGUAUCACUGAGGAGUAAAAAGGAAAGAAAAUCCCUAGGUAAAUAUUUUCACAGAGAUUCCUGUUGUCAAGAUAAGCACUUUUAAGGCGCUAACUCGUGAGGCUGCUUGCUGGGUCCUCAGGAAUUCAUUAAGCAGAAUGAGGAAUCACACAGCAAACAGACCCCUAACCACUGGCCAAAGCAAUGUAGGAAAAGUAUCAAUGCUGGUCACAUGAUCUCUGCUGUGAGGUUCCAAACUGUUUCCACCUUUCCAAAACUAUAAUCAUAAACGAUGUAGCCACGAAAUAACACGAGGGAUGCUACAUUGUAGCAAAUUAACAACUGAAGGCCCAGAAGAGGUGAGGUACAAGGACUUAACCUACAGUUAGACCAAAAUAUGAGGGAAAUGAGCAGCUUAGGGCUUCUGAUGCCCACUAUAACACGUAUUAUCAAAGGUCACUCUUGAAGGUCAUUCUGUAUUUUCACAUGUGUGGAGUGAAGUAUGUUUUCGUUUUAAUUCCAGGUGUAGGGAUACGGGGCUGCUUCCCAGCAGGUGACUAUGAUUUGCUCGUGCUCUAGUGGGGGCAUGAUUUUGCCAGCUACAGAUAGUUUCUGGGAGUGAGCGACAUUUGGAAUUCUGGGAACUUUCCAGAGGGUAUAUACAUGCUUGAGUGCCAAGAGGCAUGACAGGCUGAUAAGUUUGUUAAGUAGUUGUGUGCAAGGAAAAGAGGAGGAGGAGGAAGAGAAAGAGGAGGAGGAACAGGAGGAAGAGGAGAAAGAUGGGGAGAGAAAGAGGGAGAAAUUAGAUAUUCUGACAGCAAAGAGCAAACUUGCUCCAAGGAAUUCCAUGCCCCUAAAUCAGCAGGAAGUAAUGUAAGGCUACUGUUGCUCCCUUUCCCACCUGAUUUUAUUUGGGAUAUUUUUUUUCCUUUCUCUCUCCCCUCUAUCCUUUUCUCCUACCUAGUGUUAGGGACUUGAAAGAAGAAUCCAUAAAGUAUUAAAGGACAAUGACAUACCUGGCCUUGAAAGUUAAUUUUCAGUCUAAUUUAGAUAUCUACACAGUAAUCUUUAAUUCCCAAAUAAGUUAAUUACCUCUACAUAUCAGGAAACGCUUAAGAAUUUUUAUAUUUGUUAGAGGGAGGGAGGGAGGGAGAGACAGACAGAGAGAGCGAGAGAGAGACAGAGAGAGAGAGCGCAUGUGUGUUUGGAGAACAACUUGGAGGAAUUGCUUCCCUCCUCCCACCAUAUAAAUCUGGGGAUCAGGAUUGGCAAGAAGCAUCUUAACCAGCCAAACCAUCUCAUUAGCCCUCUUAAGAAACAUUUUAACGGUCUAGUUCUUCUAGAAUUGGCUCUUGGAGGAAUGGGAUGAGGAACUGUGGGAGGGCAGACUGGGAUGGGGGCAGUGGCUGGACUGUAAAAACAUAAAAGUGAUAAAGAAAGAGAAAGUUGUCUGUGAAAAGGAAAGGCAAUUGGCCUUUUAAACUGUAAAGUCAUAAACUCCGUAAUUGGCAUGGAGAAUCUGGGGCUUGGGACUGGGAUUUUCCUUUGGUUUCGCUUUCAUUGGAGGGCCAUCAGCUGUAUUACAAUGAUAGGCGGAUUUGGUCAUCUACUGUAUUACUCAUUGCUGGCACCAUUUGAAUGAGGCUUAACCUCUAAAAGAUGGGAGUCGGUUGGAGGUUCAGCAGGAAGUAAAGGCAAAGGACACUCAGUUUGGAAAUGACACAGAUAUGGCAUGGAUAGCACAGUGUCAACUAGAAACCGGACCUUGACCGUUGACGAGACAGCUCCAUCAUUCAAGUGAGUGCAGCCCCACCCCCACCCCAGCUCAGUUGUAAUUUUCCUAUCCAGGGGGCAGAAACAGGUCGUAGAUCCCGGGGCUCACUAGCCAGCCACCCCUGCCUACUUGGAGCAUUACAGGCCAUGGCGGAACCCAGCCUGAGGAUCCAGAGCCAGUUUGUGGUUGCUGGGGAAAGUAUUAUCUUCAGUGUAUGGCCACGGCUAAACCGCCCACGCUUGGGGAAAUAACCUAGCCAGCUUGUGUAAACAACUCUAAUUAAAUGUACAAAAAAUUUUAAUUUAAUUUAAUUUUAAAAAAUGAAAGAAAGGGUGGGGCUUGGGAAGAAGGGUUUCGGUAGGAAGGAGGAAGAGAAAGGGGAAUUUGGCGGGGGCAAGCAAUUUUUAAAAAGGGAAAAAAGCUUGCUCUGGAGCUAAAUUUGAGUGACUGAGACCCAGGAAACAGCACACAGAAGCAAAUUCAUGUAGUUUUAUCACAACAUACAGAGUCAUAAACCAAGACAUUUAAAAAUAAAUUGGUGACAACAUCCAACAGGCAGCAGUGACAAAAUGAGGAGACCCUCUCCCGUGGUCCUCAGAUGUUAUCUGACUGCAUUCUGAGUUGACGCAGACUAGUGGUCUGCUAAGUUAGAUUCCAAAAAAGGUUUUAUUAGUUACAGGACAUUAGUUUUUCGACUGAGAGGAUCAAGGAAUUAGUUAGUCCGGAGGCUUCAACCAGCCCAAGAUAAAGUGUAAUUAGGCUCUGGGCCUACAACAUUUCAACCCUCCGUGUCACAGCAAUUCUCAUCCGGCAAUCUGUCUGUGCAGCUCAGCUUCUUCCCAAGCUUCCCAUUAUAGGUAAAUGGUGCUGGAAGGACAUGCACACGCAUAGACAUAGACAUGGCACACACACACACACACACACACACACACACACCACAUAUAAAGCACAGAUACAUUGAGAAAGUAAGUUAUUUCUUAAACCAAAUUAAUUUUUUUUUAAGUUCAAAAUUGUCUUUGUGGUCUCUAUAUACUAUGGGCCUUAUAAAACAAAACAAUGAAAAAGCCGAAGCCAGAGAGUUGAGAACUCAUUUACUGUGUGUAAAGAAAGGGUGGGUGGAUGUCUGCGCCUUCUGCCUGUAUAAGCUAAGAAGAGUUGAGUAACCAAGACACCAGACUGGCCUGAGUAAUUCCAUGUAAACAUACCCCAUAUCCUCAAUAAUAAUUUAAUAACCUGAGUUUCAAAUAUAGCAGCUCACAGUUUGCAGAGUGCAAAGUGUCAGUCUUGGGGCUCAAGGUCAGAAUUCAAACCCAGAGCUAGCCUAUUCCGAGGGCUGCGUUCUCCGGAUUGGCCAUUCACCUCGUCCUACCGGGCAUGCGGGCAGGAUGGUCAACUGCAGCAAUUCUAAGAGCAGAACUGAGAGCAGCAGGCCGACCCAGUUUCCUAGAUCCACACUGUUCUUUUCUAAGAGGCCUGCAGCUCUAGCUUCACAGUGGGCAGGAUUUUCUGGUCCCGCUCUGAAUAGCGACAAGGAUGCCUACGCUAGAAAGUGUACCAAAAACACCGGGAAGCCAGUCUGAUGUGCUUGUCCCAGUCAAUAAAAUAACCCACCGCAAUGCAACCAAGCUUCUGCAACAGUCUAAAGAUAGAGACAGAGAAACCGAAGCCCAAGGUCAGGUUUUUAUAGGGUCCCACAUCCUACCACCUUGCUCUGAUCUUUGCAUAUUUCAGUAGCCAUGCUCUUGCAAUUCCCAGAACCAACAAUGUAUUUUUAGCAAUCUUGGGGUGGUCAUGACGGAACGGUUAACCUAAAAUCCAUAUGGAACCCACAGCGCUGAGAACAUUGAGGUAAACUUGGAAGUCAGCAACUGGAAAGAUAUUUCUAAAUCUGAGCCAGGGAAUAACUGACAAAGGAAAAACCCUGAGUGUCCCCAAACCAUCAGGCUUUCUCCUCAGCUCCCAUAAAGAAGUGAUAAGCAUGGAUCCCUUUCCCCCAGCAACACACGCCUGUCAAAUCUGGUUAACUGCAGCUCAGUACCAAAGCUACCUUGUACCGUGUGAGCAGGUUGGUGCUAAAGAAACACCUCAGGGUUCCCAGGCGGAAGUUCCCUGGACUACGUGUAACCUAAUUCACUGCGUAUGAGGACCAGCCUGCGUCUAGAGCAAAUUUAGAUUAAUGGGGUCUUUUAGAUCCUAUAGCAGAAUCAGGAAGAGGCAGGGCAAGAAUGUGUAAGUCGGAUAGGAGGAAGCUGAUGCUAGACGUUUUCUUAAAGGCCUUCAUGUAGUAUCUUUUUAAGCGUCAAAUGUUUGACAAUGUUGCUGUGGGAAAAGCCUCUGGUUUUGCUGCCCCUGCCCAUGAUAAGUAGGCACAGUUUAGUAGUUCUUAGGGCCUUAAGUGUCCCUGCAAGAGCCCCUAACUCAAGAGAAAUAGAUUCUGAACUGGGGUCACAGGCCCAUAAAUAGGGAUUGUGCUAAUAUUCCAGUAAAGCAAAGCAAAAUAAAACAAAACAAAACAUGUUCAAAUGAUUCAGGAGGGCUGCCUAGGGUAACUGCAAAACCCACAGUAGAAAGUUCUGAAGGCUGACGACUUGCCUUAUUUCUAACAAGCGCCAAUAAAAGCCUAUCAAAAAACAGCUCAUCUGAGGAGCAAAUAACAGAGUCUGCGAAUAGGAAUUUCAGCAAGGGGUUUCUGUACAGUCCGGAAGUUCUCAGGCAGAAGAGACAGUCCAGAGAGAAGGUUCACAGACAGGAAUCACAGAGGUCCGGAGAAGCACGGGCGCUGGCCCAGCCUUCUCUUGUCCCUGACUGCAUCAAGCCCGGCAUUAGCGACAGGCAGCUUUCUCCCAGGGGCCUCGGAACCUGACAGGAAAUGACCAAUAACACAUGGAUGAUCAGGACUUUCAAACUGCCCAUAAAAACGUCUAAAAACGGGUCAUAUCUUGUUCUUACCUUUUAGGUCACUUUUGAGUCAACUCCAGGGUUUUAAGCCAAACUCAGUAAGAGGGAAUUGUCACAAUAAAGCACCCCCAGAGAUCUCUAAUGGCCACCUGAACUUUUAAGAUGUUUUAAUUGUAUACUAUCAAUAUUGUUCCCAUUUAUAUUUUCUACAUAGAGCAAACGACAGCAAUGCAUAGAACAAAUAAACACCUUAGGAAGUGAA